rnacentral:rRNA from 1 species
GACGAACGCUGGCGGCGUGCCUAAUACAUGCAAGUAGAACGCUGAAGGAGGAGCUUGCUCUUCUGGAUGAGUUGCGAACGGGUGAGUAACGCGUAGGUAACCUGCCUCGUAGCGGGGGAUAACUAUUGGAAACGAUAGCUAAUACCGCAUAACAGUAGAUGUUGCAUGACGUUCGCUUAAAAGGUGCAAUUGUACCACUACCAGAUGGACCUUCGUUGGAUUAGCUAGUUGGUGGGGUAACGGCUCACUAAGGCGACGAUACAUAGUCGACCUGAGAGGGGGGUCGGCCAAACUGGGACGGGGACACGGCCCAGAAUCCUACGGGAAGGAGCAGGAGGGGAUCUUCGGGAAUGGGCGGAAGUCAGAACGAGGAACGCCGGGGGAGUGAAGAAGGGUUUCGGGUCGUAAAGCUCUGGUGUAAGGGAAGAAAGAGUGGGAGAGUGGAAAGUUCACAUUGUGACGGUAUCUUACCAGAAAGCGACGGCUAACUACGUG